UCAUCAAAAUUUCAAGCUUUAGAAAAAAUUUAAUUGAAAUUUUGUCUUAAGACAUUUUGUCUCUAUGAAGAAUUUCGAUCAAAAUCCGUACAAAAGUCGCAGGGAAAUAGUUGGGCAACUUUUUGGAAAGAACGGUUGAGAAAUGCGCUAGCGAACGAAUGAACGAAUAUGGUGAACUGACUUAACCCAUAAACAUCGAAUGCCAGAAUAAUACAAAAGAAAUGCCAAUUUCAAAAAUAGACGAAACAAAAGCAAUGAUGUACAAGAGAAACAGAAUCUGUCUCACAAAUCACCAACUCCUUAUUUUCGCGAUAGAGAACGAGAGCAAGAUCGAAUACGACACCUUUAUGGGUCUGAUUCAAAAGUAAAAGCAUACAAAACUAAAGAACAAACCAUCAGAAGAUCACAAACUUCUCGAUGCAAUGGAAAUAAUACAAAUAUCGCCCGACAUCAACCAGCACAUCAUCAGACCAAAAUCCGUCAUGGAAUAGCCAAUCACGAACACUGCUGUCAUUGCAAUGCUAAUAUGCCGCCUCCUGUAAUUUUUGUUCCUGUGCCGCAUUAUCACUGGCCUUCAUUUUAUGUACCACGCUUUCAGAUGGGGAUGCCUACUUCGCCAAAUAGGAUGAUGGGUCCAUCGAAUCGUCCACGAUUUGCUGCUAAUAACAACAGACCUGAACUAAAAAAAUUUUAUCCGUAUUAAAAUGUUAGUUCAUCACAACAAAACUUUAAUGUUAUUAUUGAAAUAAAUGAUUUUUG